rnacentral:rRNA from 1 species
GACGUAGGGCGCAAGCGUUGUCCGGAUUUACUGGGCGUAAAGGGCUCGUAGGCGGCCAACUAAGUCAUACGUGAAAUCCCUCAGCUUAACUGGGGAACUGCGUGUGAUACUGGAUGGCUUGGAUUUGGGAGAGGGAUGCGGAAUUCCAGGUGUAGCGGUGAAAUGCGUAGAUAUCUGGAGGAACACCGGUGGCGAAGGCGGCAUCCUGGACCAAUAUUGACGCUGAGGAGCGAAAGCCAGGGGAGCAAACGGG